AAAAUUUUGCUGACCCAACAUUAAAAAUUCAAAACAUUUGAUUACCCAACCUCAAAUAUCAAUUAAAAAAUAAAUACCUACCACUGGUAAAAAAAUCACAAAAGAAUACCAUGCAGUCAGUUGUCAAACAUGUCCUUUAUUACUUCUGUGACAUGAGUUUAGGGGCCGACCACUUAACUUUUGAGGGGGGGGGGGGGGGAUUUUGAAAAAAAAAAUUCCUGCAAGGCUAUUCUGGAC